CUCACAUUCUACUCUGUGAGGAAUCCUAGGAAAGACGGAUUCUAGGUCAAAUGAAUUUGGGAAACAGACUUUGUGCUGUGUUUAUCUCUCGGAAAUUCAGUCUAUUAAAGGCUCUGAAGAGUCCUAGAGUAGAAGCACCUGCUUGGCCUGUGCACUGUAGCAUUCCAAACACGGCAUGGAGGCAGCCCUGACCCACCCAGCCCUGCCGGCCACCUUCUCUGGGGAAGGCCACCCGACCCUGAGUCGAAUCCCAACAUUCUAUGAUGCUGUCAUUCAACAUGGGUGAGUUCCAGCCAGCUCUUCCAAGCACCCACAGGCACUCACGUCACCCAUACUCUAGGACAGUGUGACAUCAUAAAAAUAAUUAUUUGGUCUCUGGCACAAUCACAAGGCUCCUAAAACCCUUGUCAUUUCCUGAGCCACAGGGGUUUUAGGAGCAUCUUUCAUUCUAGUGUUUGGUCUUUGACCCCGGUUCCCAACAAACAGCUCCUACUCCCUUGGAAUUUAUUGGGUGAUGGGAGUGUCUUGUUCUAAUGAAGCAACUCUAAUGGGCUCCUGGACGGGGCUGGUCACCAGAAAGACCAGGUUAUGCUGAGAAGCUUGAAACCGUCAGUCCCCCGCCACCCCAUCCUCUGGGAAGGGAAGAGGAGCUGGAGAUCAUGCCCAUGUGAUGAGGCCUCCGUCAAAGUCCUUGCACUCCGGGAUGUGGCUGCCGGACAUGCGGAGGCGCUGGGAGAGCGGCACACCUGGAGAGGGCGUGGAAGCUCCAACACCCCACCUCCACACCGCGUGCUAUGCAUCUCUCCCGUCCAGCUGCUCCUGGGUUUCAGUCUUUCCUAAUGAACAGGCUUCUGCACUUCUGAUGACUCCAUCCAGAUCUCCAGCUUGUCCUGUGGACCCAUCCAUGCAGAAGCAGACUCGGCAGGCACAAGGACCAUUUUCCACACCCCUAUGAUUGCACCUCAUCCAAUCAGCAGCACCCACUCCCUAGUCCCCAGCUCCCUCCAGAUUAUCCUUGAAAAACCCUAGCCUCUGAAUUUUGGGGGAGAUUGACUUAAGUAAUAAAAUUCCAGUCUCCCACUUAGCCAGCUCUGUGUGAACUAAACUCUUUCUCUAUUGCAAUUCCCAUCUUGGUAAGUCAGCUCCAUCUGGGCAGCGGGCAAGGUGAAUCCAGUGGGCGGUCACAGUGACGCCUUUGCUUUCUGAUGGUUUAAUGUACACAAACUUUGUUUCAUGCAGAAAAUUAUGAAAAGUAUUGUAUUAAAUUAACUUCAGGCUAUGUGUAUAAGGUCUAUAUAAAACAAACAAAUUUUGUACUUUGACUUAGGUCCCAGCCCCAAGAUAUCUCAUUAGGUAGUACAUAUAAAUAUUCCAUAUCCUGAAAAAGUCAAAAAUCCAAAAUAUUUCUUGUCUCAAGCAUUUUGGAUAAAAGAUAUUCAACCUGUAUAGGAGAUUAAGAGAAACUGCAGCUGGAAAGAGACCUCAGAAAUACAGUGAUAUAAUUCCACUUCUUUAUCUUUCAGAUGAGUCAACUGAGGUAAAGAGCAACCUGGCUGAAGGUCAACAGCAGGGCUUUUUAAUCAGAUCCAUGCUGCCCCAAAAUAAUGAAACCCUGGAUCAGCUUCUUUUCCAAAUCUUGAGAAUACAGGCUCCUGGGCUGUGAAAUACAAUUUGAAAAUGUUUCUCUUCUAACAAAGAGUGCAAUGUCUUGAGUACUUUAACAUACUGUUUUCUGAAAUCUCACUGUUUGCUGGUAGGUAUCAAUGGCUUUGGUGUGGGGCGUCUGAUAUGUCUAUAUAAAGAAUCUCAUGCUGCCCCAGGAAAAAGCACAUAUAUCCAUAUUUUUGUUUGAUUUUGUAAAGCUUAUUGUACAAGAUCACAUUUUUGUUUUAAUAAAGAACAAAAAUGAAGUUUCAACAUUUGUGAAGAAACAUAGUUUUUGAGAGAAGAUAAUUUGGUCAGAAGCAUUACUUGUUAUUUUGCCUUCUAUUAAAGUUUUCUCAGAAAUCAGAUUCCCUAUGUGAAAAAUCUGACUUCUGUAUAAUAGGUGUAUUGUAUAAUCUGUACUUUUAAGAAGUUUAAAAAUGGCCAGGCACGGUGGCUCACGUCUAUAAUCCCAGCACUUUGGGAGGCUGAGGCGGGUGGAUCACUUGAGGUCAGGAGUUCAAGACCAGUUUGGCCAACAUGGAGAAAUGUACUACUAAAAAUACAAAAUCAGCUGGGUGUGGUGGCGCAUGCCUGUAAUCCCUGCUACUCAGGAGGCUGAGGCAGGGGAGUCGCUUGAAUCCGGGAGGUGGAGGUUGUGGUGAGCUGAGAUCACGCCAUUGCACUCCAGUGUGGGCAACGAGAUCGAAACUCCGUCUCAAAAAAGAAAAAAAACCAAAAAGUUUAAAAAUGGCUGGGCACGGUGGCUCACGCCUGUAAUCCCAGC
rnacentral:lncRNA from 1 species